rnacentral:lncRNA from 1 species
ACUAAUAUCGAAAAGUCAAACGAACCACCAGAAACAAAAUAAUCAAUGUGCAUCAUCAUUUUCUCAGUUUCAAGUGGGUGAUGAAAAACAGAUGGAAAAAAGUAUGGACUUUUCCGAAUUUGAUAUUAAAGCGUUUGAUGAGUUUAAUAGUGCGUUAGGUAGCGCGCAAAAUGUGGUAGGAAACACUAACAACAUGGGUAACGAUGUGCACCAUAAUGUAGACAUGCUCGAAAAUCAUAAAAAAUAUACCGUAGAAUAUAUACACAAUGGAGAAUCCAAAGAAAUUGUGGUUGAUAAAAAAAAAAACGGAGUUGAAUAUGAGUCAAAUAAUGAUAUCGAAAAGAAUGCAAACAGUUUUAAUAAAAUGAUAUCAAGUGGUACUAAUACAUUAAUGGAAGGCGUAGAAAAAAAUAGAUUACUAUAUAAUACUAAUAACAAUAAUUGCUACAAUAUAAGUAACGAAUCAAUAACAGUAGAUUUAAUGAAAAAAAAACGAGAAAAACAAAUAAAUAAAAUUAUAAAAAAAUGUGAAUGGAUUACACAGACUUAUCCAUUUGGUUUAUGUCCAAUAAUUGUUAAUAAUACAUUUUCACAUGAAUGGGAUGAACAAAUUGUUUUUAUGCGCCGUGACUCUUACAAUAUUCCUACUACUAUUAGAAAAAUAUAUCCAGAUCGUAGUGACUAUUAUAUUAUUCAAGAAACUGCAACCGUGCCUACCUUUGCUAGCUCUUAUUUCAAAACAAAUGCUUCUUCUUCUUGUUAUUUAGAACAAUUUUAUAAAUAUCAAAAUAAAAUAGAUGAUAAGUUACAAUGUAUGCAAUUUAGUACAGAAAACAUUUUUAACAAAGUAGCAACAAAAAAUAUGUAUCUAUUAAAAAGAUUAUUAAAAACGUAUAAAAGAAAUGUUAGUUUCAACGAAUCAAAUAAUGUACAAAUAAAAUAUGACAACACUACUGCUAUAACAAAUGACCAAAAAAUAAAUAUCUACUUAAAUAAUCGAAAAAUAAGUAACGACUCCAACAGUUACCAAAAUUAUGAUAAUUC